GGGAUAGGAGAAUUGGAGGGCAAGUUUGGUGCCAGCAGCCGCGGUAAUACCGACUCCAAGAGUGUGUAUGAGAGAUGCUGCAGUUAAAAAGUCCGUAGUCAUAGAAGGGCAAAGAGAGAUGCGAGGUCUCACAGUGCGAUGAUGGAGGAGCCGAUGGGGAACAUAGUAUACCAGGGCGAGAGAUGAAAUGCCAAGACCCCUGGUGGACUGAGCGAGGCGAAGGCGAUGUUCUUGUAGGCAUUCGGUGAUCAAGGACGAAGGCUGGAGUAUCGAAAGUGAUUAGAUACCGCAGUAGUUCCAGCAGUAAAAGAUGCCGACAUGCUCAUUGGACACAGUGGGCAGGGAGAAAUCUUAGAGUUCGGGCUCUGGGGAUAGUAUGCUCGCAAGGGUGAAAAUUAAAGAAAUUGACGGAGCUACACCACAAGGAGUGGAUUGUGCGGCUUAAUUUGACUCAACGCGAGGAAACUUACCAGGGCCAAGUAUUGUGUAGAAACGAGCAAUACAGGAGUGGUGCAUGGUCGUUGGAAAUUGAUGGGAUGACUUUGACCUUAAAUGGUUGAAUGAGUGAGAUCUUUUGGACAUGUUCCGCACGGAACAGGAAGGAAAAGGCUAUAACAGAUCCGAGAUGCCCUCAGAUGCCCUGGGCUGCACGCGCAAUACAAUAGCAGGUAGAGAGAGAGACAGGAAGGUGCUCAGAUGGACUAUGUGCUGUAAGGCACAUACGAAAGAGGAAUUCCUAGUAAGUGUGUAUCAACAAUG
rnacentral:rRNA from 1 species